AGAGUUUGAUCAUGGCUCAGAACGUACGCUGGCGGCACGCCUAACACAUGCAAGUCGAACGAAGUAGCAAUACUUAGUGGCAGACGGGUGAGUAACAUGUAGGUAUCUGCCCUUUGGCCUGGAAUAACACGAGGAAACUUGUGCUAAUACCGGAUAAGUCUUUACGGAGAAAGCUUUAUGCACCAUUGGAUGAGCCUGCACUUGAUUAGUUUGUUGGUGGGGUAAUGNCCUACCAAGACUGUGAUCAAUAGCUGAUUUGAGAGGAUGAUCAGCCACAUUGGGACUGAGACACGGCCCAAACUCCUACGGGAGNCANCAGUGGGGAAUCUUNCACAAUGGAGGGAACUCUGA
rnacentral:rRNA from 1 species